rnacentral:lncRNA from 1 species
GAGCCAGGACCGAACGAGCCGGUGAGCGAAUGACCGCGGUAAAGGUAUCGCGCCGUAGACAGUGACUACCCGAGUCAGGUUUUAUAUUUUUACUAGUAGCAUACCCUUAUAUCAUCUUUUGUAUUUGAUGAUUAGAGAUGUUAAAGAAAAGAAUGUAAACUUUCUAUUUUGAGGAAAUGUGAUGUAAAAUGAAAUGAUGAAAAGCAUGUAUAUGUAAAAGAAUCGUGAAUGUAAAGGUUGAAUGCAAUGUAUGUGAUAAAAAAUGUAUCAUAGUACUUGUGUAGAUGUUUAGGUU